UGCAUUAUAUACACACUACACAAACACACACACUGCAUUAUAUACACAGUGUGUUUGUGUAGUGUGUUUAAUGCAGUGUGUUUGUGUAGUGUGCAUUAUAUAA